GGGGCUAUAGCUCAGUUGGUAGAGCGUUGCGUUCGCAAUGCAAAGGUCUGGGGUUCGAUUCCCCAUAGCUCCACUA
rnacentral:tRNA from 1 species